UAAUAGCGUAUACUUAAGUUGUUGCAGUUAAAAAGCUCGUAGUCGGAUGUCGGGCUUGGGCAGGCUGUCGGCUUUUGUCGGACGGCAGGCUCGGGCCUUUCUGCCUGGGGGCCGCGUCACACUUCACUGUGGGGCGUCGGGACGCAGGCCGGUUACUUUGAAAAAAUUAGAGUGUUCAAAGCAGGCCUACGCUUGAAUACAUUAGCAUGGAAUAAUGGAAUAGGACUUUGGUGCCAUUCUGUUGGUUUAUGGAACCGAAGUAAUGAUUAAUAGGGACAGUUGGGGCCGUUUAUAUUUCGUUGUCAGAGGUGAAAUUCUUGGAUUUACGAAAGAUAAACUUCUGCGAAAGCAUUCGGCAAGGAUGUUUUCAUUGA
rnacentral:rRNA from 1 species